rnacentral:lncRNA from 1 species
CGCCAAGCCGACGCCCACCCGGAACUCCAGCUGGCCCGCAAGCGCCGCGCGCAGCCCCGGUUCCCGCUCGCGCCUCUCCCUCCACACCUCCCUGCAAGCUGAGGGAGCGGGCUCCGGCCUUGGCCAGCCCAGAAAGGGGCCUCCUACAGUGCAGUGGUGGGCCGAAGGACUCCUCAAGUGCCGCCAAAGUGGGAGCCCAGGCAGAGGAGGCGCCGAGAGCAAGCGAGGGCUGUGAGGACUGCCGGCACGCUGUCACUUCUCAAUAUGGAUCCUGCUCCAGCCCCUGAGCCCAUGUCCACAUCAAGAGGAACUUCCUUGUCUUGAGACUCCACACAGGGCUGGUGCUGUGCCUGGUGCUCUGUGCCCAUCAUCCAGGAGAUCCCUGACUUCAGCACCAGCUCCUCUUUAUCCGGAGUUCCAGCAGGAUCUGAGGGCUGAGAGAGGUAAAUAAAAUUCUGAGAAACAUCUGAAGCCGGUUCCUGGGGCUCCACUCAAGGCCCCUUAAUGCUGCCAUUCCCCGCAUACCUCACCACCCCCCAGCUCCCUUCACUGCACACUGCUCUGCAGAGGAAGGUCAUCAGUGUCUGGGAUGAAGAGCAUUGCAAAGGUCAUCAGUGUCUGGGUUGCAGAGCGUUGCCUGGCGCAAGCUGAUACCAGUGGGGAAGCCAGGAGGAAUGACAAACUUGAAGUCAUGGAAUUGGAUUGCAGCCCUGAUUUACCACCAACUACACAUGACCUUGAGAAAUCUCUUAACAUCUCUGAGCCUCUGGUGAGAAGAAAGCUGGCAGGCCAAGCUGGGAAGCCAAGAAAAGGCUGUUUCUAGUUCCAGUGAAUUUCAAUCCCUGUGCAUCCUGUGGACUGAGGCUCCAAUGCUUCCAAAACUCAAAGCACCUGCCAAAGCCAGCAGGUAGGUGAUUCCCCUCAACACAGCUGACUCAUCAAGCAAACUUCCGAAAGUCCAGGCAGAGCCGGAGGCUGAGGAGAGUAUUUGCACAUACUAUUUUCCUUAUGCCUGUAUUUUACUCUAAUUACUUUUGAUUGAUCCAUUGAUUCUUUUUUUCUUUUUGAGAUGGAGUCUCGCUCUGUCACCCAGGCUGGAGUUCAGUGGCACAAUCUUGGCUCACUACAACCUUCACCUCCUGGGCUCAGACAAUUCUCUGCCUCAGCCUCCUGAAUAGCUGGGAUUACAUGCUCCUGCCACCAUGCCUGGCUAAUUUUUGUAUUUUUAGUAGAGACGGGGUUUCACCAUCUUGGCCAGGCUGGUCUUGAACUCCUGACUUUGUGAUCCACCAACCUCGCCCUCCCAAAGUGCUGGGAUUAUAGGCGUGAGCCACCGGGCCCGGCCUGAUUCAUUCUUUUAUUCCUUCAGUACAAUUUUACUGAAUUCUCCCUCCAGGGCAGAUCUAACUUUUGUGGGGGCCUGAUACUUAUUUGAGAAACUUCUGUAAAAGAAAUUAUGGCUGGGGGUGAUGGCUUAUGCCUGUAAUCCCAGCACAUUGGGAGGCUGAAAAGGGAGGAUUGCUUGAGCCUAGGAGUUCAAGACUGGCCUGGGCAACAUAGUGAGACCCCCAUCUCUAAAAAAAUACAAAAAUUGGGCCAGGCGUGGGUGGUGUCAGCUGAUCCAUCCAGUGCAGGGUCUGCAAAAUAUCUCAAGCACUGAUCUUAGGUUUUACAAUAGUGAGGUUAUCCUCAGGAGCAAUUUGGGGAGGUUCAGACUCUUGCAGCCAGAGGCUGCAUGACCCCUAAACUGUAAUUUCUAAUCUUGUAGCUAGUUUGUUCAUCCUGUAAAGGCAGACUUGUCCCCAGACAAGAAGGGGGUCUUUUAGGGAAAGGGCUAUUAUCAAUAUUGUUUCAGAGUCAAACCGUGAACUAAAUUCCUUCACAAGAUUAGUUCGUCCUCUGCCCAGGAAUGAACAAGGACAGCUUAAAGGUUAGAAGCAAGAUGGAGUUGGUUGGGUCUGAUCUCUUUCACUGUCAUAAUUUCCUCAGUUAUAAUUUUUGCAAAGGCGGUUUCAUCCUUGCCAAGACUUCACUUGAAAAUGAGUCUAUCUCCCCCAUGACUGAUGAAUUCAUGGCACUUUUGUUGGGCUUUCUCCUCAAUGAGAUGAUAAGAAAGUUUGAGGACUACGGAAAGGACAAAAGCAUCUGUGGUACCACCAACCUGAUUCCUCCUUGUCCUUGUCGUGUUUGGUCUCAGUCAUUGUUCACAACAGGCAGCCCAGGGCUCUCGGCUCCAAGCGUCUGCCUGUGCAUUAGCCAUUGCUGCCCACCCCCAGGCCCUCCACUGUAGUACCCAAACCCCAAAACUGCCUACACGGCAAGGGCAGAGCCAGGCUGGGGAGAUGGAAUGCUACUCCGGGUCUGAGUGUGUCUGAAAAGACUGCAGGGCUUAUUCACCAGAAGCAUCAGAAGUAAAAGAAGUACUGAAUGGAAAGGAGCUGACUACUGGGAGAGGCCCAGGCCUGGCCGGAAGGACCAGCGAUGAGGGGUGGAUUGCCCCAGGACUCCAAAGUUGCACAUAGGUGGCAGCCCACCUUGGACGGUCCUCAGAGUUGGUACAGGAAGCAGAGACCCAAACCCUACCUGUAGGCCUGCAGUUCUCCUAUUUCCUCUGGCCAGAUCUGCAUCUCAUUUCUCAGGUCUCCUAUCUUUUUUCAUUACGGGCCAGGUCAUGGCAAUUUCCAGAAUUUAGUCCUCCCUCUGAUACUUCGGUUGUGGUUGCCGAUGGCAUGCCCAGGUGGGAGAGGGAGGCCAGGUGGCAGGUGCUGGUGCUGUUAGCAGUGCUGACCUGCCGUCUUGCUCCAGGGCUGCUGGAGGCCUGGCAGAGAUGCUCAGGAAACUCUUGACUCAGCUCAUGUGUGUGCCGUGGUCCUACUUGGGGAUGAACGCAAGGGAGCCUGGACAAAUUCCCAUUGAUGUAGUUGCUCACUGCAUAUGGCAUGUGUGUCUAGGAACACACGCGCACACACACACACACACACACACACACACACUUUCUUUUGUAAAAGAAUAAUACAAAGCUACAUGGCUAUAUGUAUAUGCAUAUAUAUAGACAUAGAUAUCAUAUGUUUAUAAUGCUUUAUAGUUUACAAGCAGUAGGAAUUGUGUGGGCACAGUGUCUUCUCUCUUCCUGCAACCCGGAUACAUUUUGCUUAGUUUGAGAUUAAUAAAUAGGAAGAGAGAGGCAGACAGAUGAUGCUUUCUAGUGAAAUGAGCAGAGUUAGAAGUAAAAUAGCCACGUGACUUUGGGCAAGUUAUUCAAGGCUGCAGCUUUCUUCUCUAUAAGAUGGGAUAAUAUAUUAUCUACUUGAGCAUACCUAGUGCCCAGAUCUUGGUUUCUAGUACUGUUCUCCAAUAAAAGGAACUAGGAUCCUUGGGAGAAAUAGCUGAUUCUAGGGCUGGGGCAGAAUGGAAGAUAAGCCUGGAAAGCUAAAAAUAAAUAAAUAAAUAAAUAAAAAAGCAAGUUGGUAUCAUAGAAGUGAAGAGUAAAAAAGUGGUUACUAGAGGCUGGUAAGGGUAAGGGGGAGGAGGAGAGACACAGAGGUUGGUUAAAGGACACAAAAUUACCCUAGAUAGGACUAAGUUUUAAUGUCCUAUAGCACUAGAGUUACUAUAAUAAAAAUAAUUUAUUAUAUAUUUUCAAAUAGCUAGAAGAGAGGACUUUGAAUGUUCCCAACACACAAAGCAAUGAUAAGUGUUUGAGGUGAUGGAUUUGCUAAUUACUCUGAUUUGAUCAUUAUACAUUUACACAUGUACUGAAAUAUCACACUGCACCCCAUACAUAUGUAUAAUUAUGUGUCAAUUAAAAAUAAUAGACAAAGAAAUAAAUCAAUCAAAGAUGAGCCUGGUGCAUCUUGGAGUAUCAGAAAGUAAGAAGGUACUAAAAAACAAAACAAAACAUCUAACCCCCAAUAAAGGUGGCGAUGGUGAUGGUGGCGGUAGGUGGGGGGCAUGAAUCUGCCAAAGGGACACAGGGGAGAGCUGAAAGGGCCAAAGUUGGAACAAUUUAAUCCUUUUCCCAUUUAGGAAAAAAAAGUGCAGCUCGCUGCCAGCGCUCAUUUAAUUUUAAAUAAACAUGCUCUUUGAGGCUAAAGCAAAUCUGACUGAUGUUCAAUAUGAAAAUAAAACAGAAAAACUGUUCUUGGAGUUAUUUCUAAACAGAACUAACAUCAGAAUUAUCUGAAUCAUCAGAAUUGUCUAUUUCAGAAAAAUCGGAUUCAUCAAAUGAAUCUUCGGCCAACAACUGUUCGAGAACUAUGUUAAUUAACCUCACAUGUAGGAAUCCUGUAUUUCCUAGGAUUUGACAUUUUCAGUGAUUGAGAAGUACUAUAUUUUGUAAAUGGAAAAACCACUACUAAAAACAGAAUGGUAUCAGUAGAACGAUGUCUUUUCUUUCCCAAUUCCAUAUACUAGAGGGAUCCGAAAAUAAUAAUAAAAGUGAGAUAUUUCGUGGCAAAGUUAUCUCGAGGUAAACGCUGCAGCUGCAAGCACCACCAGCGAAUAUUCCCGAGGCAAACGGGGAAAGGGUUAAG